rnacentral:rRNA from 1 species
AUUGAACGCUGGCGGAAUGCUUUACACAUGCAAGUCGAACGGCAGCACGGGGGCAGCCCUGGUGGCGAGUGGCGAACGGGUGAGUAAUACAUCGGAACGUGCCCGGUCGUGGGGGAUAACGUAGCGAAAGUUACGCUAAUACCGCAUACGAUCUGAGGAUGAAAGCGGGGGACCUUCGGGCCUCGCGCGAUCGGAGCGGCCGAUGUCAGAUUAGGUAGUUGGUGGGGUAAAGGCCUACCAAGCCGACGAUCUGUAGCUGGUCUGAGAGGACGACCAGCCACACUGGGACUGAGACACGGCCCAGACUCCUACGGGAGGCAGCAGUGGGGAAUUUUGGACAAUGGGCGCAAGCCUGAUCCAGCCAUUUCGCGUGCAGGACGAAGGCCUUCGGGUUGUAAACUGCUUUUGUACGGAACGAAAAGGCUCUGGCUAAUACCUGGGGCUCAUGACGGUACCGUAAGAAUAAGCACCGGCUAACUACGUG